rnacentral:rRNA from 1 species
UAACACCAGCGCCACAAGUGGUAACCAUGGUUAUUGGGCCUAAAGCGUUCGUAGCCGGUUUAAAAAGUUCUUUGUGAAAUUGUUUAGCUUAACUAAACAACGUGCAAGGAAUACUAUUAAACUUGGGACCGGGAGGAGGUAGAGGUAUUCCAGGGGGAGCGGUAAAAUGCUAUAAUCCUUGGAGGACCACCAAUGGCGAAGGCGUCUAUCUAGAACGGAUCCGACGGUCAGGAACGAAGGCUAGGGGAGCAAAACGGAUUAGAUACCCGAGUAGUCCUAGCUGUAAACGCUGCGAGCUGGGUGUUGCAUUUUCUUAGUGAAUGUGCAGCGCCCAAGCGAAGGUGUUAAGCUCGCCGCCUGGGAAGUAUAGUCGCUAAGACCG